UGGUCGAUGCGACGCCGCGCGCCCCUCUUCUUCCCUGCCGACGCUGUGAUCUUCCCGACGCCACUCCUCUUCCUCUCCUCUCUGCACCGAGCCACCGGCCAUCUUCUCUUCAGCCUUUUCUUCUUCGCUGAGCACUGCACCGCCGACGCAGAUCUUGUUUUCUUCCACGGUUGUCCACCGAAUUUAGGAGAGGAGACCUAGUUCAGAUUUGUCUCCACCGGAUCGCCAGCGACGCCAUAUCCUCACAGCGACGCCCCAUCCUCACUGCCGGCCUCCCCUGUGCUCUAGCGCCGGCACUGAUUUCCUUCUUCUAGUGCGAUUUUGGAGCACAACAGUCGUGCCCUAGCGCCUGUGCCGUAGCCGCUUAGCACCGCCCGACACCUCCUGGCACAGCCGAGCCCUCUCCCGAUCUCCCAUACUUUGUGCCCUAGCAGUGGUUGAAGUGGAGGAUGUUUCGGUCGCGAGGCAACUGUAGAGUCCUCAGAUUUGGGAGGGACAGUGAUUUCAUCUACGCUGGCAGAGAGUUAUACCAGCUAUACGUCAUUGGUGGAGCCAUCAAUUCUGGAUUUGAGUUGGAUGCGACCUCUUGGACUUAUUGAGGACGGUUGAUACGACAUGCGUAUGAAGGCGGGUACCUCUUGACUUAUCUUUUAUGAUAUUGUCAUUGGAUAUGCAUAGUAUUUUAUAACUACAU